AGUGAACGCUGGCGGUAGGCCUAACACAUGCAAGUCGAGCGGAGAUGAGGUGCUUGCACCUUAUCUUAGCGGCGGACGGGUGAGUAAUGCUUAGGAAUCUGCCUAUUAGUGGGGGACAACAUUCCGAAAGGAAUGCUAAUACCGCAUACGUCCUACGGGAGAAAGCAGGGGAUCUUCGGACCUUGCGCUAAUAGAUGAGCCUAAGUCGGAUUAGCUAGUUGGUGGGGUAAAGGCCUACCAAGGCGACGAUCUGUAGCGGGUCUGCGAGGAUGAUCCGCCACACUGGGAGUGAGACAGGGCCCAGACUCCUACGGGAGGCAGUAGUGGGGAAUAUUGGACAAUGGGGGGAACCCUGAUCCAGCCAUGCCGCGUGUGUGAAGAAGGCCUUAUGGUUGUAAAGCACUUUAAGCGAGGAGGAGGCUACUGAGACUAAUACUCUUGGAUAGUGGACGUUACUCGCAGAAUAAGCACCGGCUAACUCUGUGCCAGCAGCCGCCGCCG
rnacentral:rRNA from 1 species